GAAAAAUGGAGAUGAAGAGCGUCAAAAUGAUGUUGGAGAAGAAGGAGAGAUUUGGGGAUCUAAGGAUCCGGAAUGGGUUGGGUCGGAUUAUUGGGUUUCGAUAGGUAGUGGUUGGGUUGGUAAAUAAAUAGAAGUUUUUGGGUUUUGAGGACUUUUUGACUAUUUUUCUAUUUAAAACUAAUUCAAAAUAAAAAUCAAAAUACAAGGGGUCUUUUUUAGAUUUUUUUUCUAUGCCAAGUGGUCUAUAUCAACAUUUGUUCCGUGAGAAACAAAAAGAAUAAAGAGAUAAUGAGAGAAAAGAAUAAUAAUAUCCGUUAGAUUGAGAUCUAUCAAUGGUCAAGAUUAAUAGUUUUGUUAUCCGCACCCUAUUGGUCAAGGUUUUUUCUCUUUAUUUUUUUUCUUUGUUGUACUCUGUUUUUUUUUUUAAUAUUUAGUAUAUUUAAUAGUUAUUUUAUUUUGUGGUUAAUAAUUUAGUUCAUGUUAUAAUUGUGGGUUUAAGAUUUGCUUAAAUUUUUAAAAAUAUAAAUUUAACAUUCAUAUAUAGAGCUUAAAAAACCAAUGAU
rnacentral:lncRNA from 1 species